CGUAGGAGGCAAGCGUUAUCCGGAUUCACUGGGCGUAGAGCGCGUGCAGGUGGCGCGGUAAGUUGGACGUGAAAUCUCCCGGCUCAACUGGGAGAGGUCGUUCAAUACUACCGUGCUUGAGAGCAGAAGAGGAAGAUGGAAUUCCCGGUGUAGUGGUGAAAUGCGUAGAUAUCGGGGGGAACACCAGUGGCGAAGGCGAUCUUCUGGUCUGUUUCUGACACUCAGACGCGACAGCUAGGGUAGUAAACGGGAUUAGAGACCCCGGUAAUCCUAGCCGUAAACGAUGUGAACUUGGCGUUGGUGGGUUAAACUCCAUCAGUGCCGUAGCAAACGCGAUAAGUUCACCGCCUGGGGACUACGGCCGCAAGGUUA
rnacentral:rRNA from 1 species